rnacentral:rRNA from 1 species
AGAGUUUGAUCAUGGCUCAGAUUGAACGCUGGCGGCAGGCCUAACACAUGCAAGUCGAGCGGUAGCACAGAGAGCUUGCUCUCGGGUGACGAGCGGCGGACGGGUGAGUAAUGUCUGGGAAACUGCCUGAUGGAGGGGGAUAACUACUGGAAACGGUAGCUAAUACCGCAUAACGUCGCAAGACCAAAGUGGGGGACCUUCGGGCCUCAUGCCAUCAGAUGUGCCCAGAUGGGAUUAGCUAGUAGGUGGGGUAACGGCUCACCUAGGCGACGAUCCCUAGCUGGUCUGAGAGGAUGACCAGCCACACUGGAACUGAGACACGGUCCAGACUCCUACGGGAGGCAGCAGUGGGGAAUAUUGCACAAUGGGCGCAAGCCUGAUGCAGCCAUGCCGCGUGUGUGAAGAAGGCCUUCGGGUUGUAAAGCACUUUCAGCGGGGAGGAAGGCGNNCGAUUGACGUUACCCGCAGAAGAAGCACCGGCUAACUCCGUGCCAGCAGCCGCGGUAAUACGGAGGGUGCAAGCGUUAAUCGGAAUUACUGGGCGUAAAGCGCACGCAGGCGGUCUGUCAAGUCGGAUGUGAAAUCCCCGGGCUCAACCUGGGAACUGCAUUCGAAACUGGCAGGCUAGAGUCUUGUAGAGGGGGGUAGAAUUCCAGGUGUAGCGGUGAAAUGCGUAGAGAUCUGGAGGAAUACCGGUGGCGAAGGCGGCCCCCUGGACAAAGACUGACGCUCAGGUGCGAAAGCGUGGGGAGCAAACAGGAUUAGAUACCCUGGUAGUCCACGCCGUAAACGAUGUCGAUUUGGAGGUUGUGCCCUUGAGGCGUGGCUUCCGGAGCUAACGCGUUAAAUCGACCGCCUGGGGAGUACGGCCGCAAGGUUAAAACUCAAAUGAAUUGACGGGGGCCCGCACAAGCGGUGGAGCAUGUGGUUUAAUUCGAUGCAACGCGAAGAACCUUACCUGGUCUUGACAUCCACAGAACUUAGCAGAGAUGCUUUGGUGCCUUCGGGAACUGUGAGACAGGUGCUGCAUGGCUGUCGUCAGCUCGUGUUGUGAAAUGUUGGGUUAAGUCCCGCAACGAGCGCAACCCUUAUCCUUUGUUGCCAGCGGUUAGGCCGGGAACUCAAAGGAGACUGCCAGUGAUAAACUGGAGGAAGGUGGGGAUGACGUCAAGUCAUCAUGGCCCUUACGACCAGGGCUACACACGUGCUACAAUGGCAUAUACAAAGAGAAGCGACCUCGCGAGAGCAAGCGGACCUCAUAAAGUAUGUCGUAGUCCGGAUUGGAGUCUGCAACUCGACUCCAUGAAGUCGGAAUCGCUAGUAAUCGUAGAUCAGAAUGCUACGGUGAAUACGUUCCCGGGCCUUGUACACACCGCCCGUCACACCAUGGGAGUGGGUUGCAAAAGAAGUAGGUAGCUUAACCUUCGGGAGGGCGCUUACCACUUUGUGAUUCAUGACUGGGGUGAAGUCGUAACAAGGUAACCGUAGGGGAACCUGCGGUUG